GAUGAACGCUGGCGGCGUGCCUAAUACAUGCAAGUCGAGCGAACGGACGAGAAGCUUGCUUCUCUGAUGUUAGCGGCGGACGGGUGAGUAACACGUGGAUAACCUACCUAUAAGACUGGGAUAACUUCGGGAAACCGGAGCUAAUACCGGAUAAUAUUUUGAACCGCAUGGUUCAAAAGUGAAAGACGGUCUUGCUGUCACUUAUAGAUGGAUCCGCGCUGCAUUAGCUAGUUGGUAAGGUAACGGCUUACCAAGGCAACGAUGCAUGGCCGACCUGAGAGGGUGAUCGGCCACACUGGAACUGAGACACGGUCCAGACUCCUACGGGAGGCAGCAGUAGGGAAUCUUCCGCAAUGGGCGAAAGCCUGACGGAGCAACGCCGCGUGAGUGAUGAAGGUCUUCGGAUCGCAAAACUCUGUUAUUAGGGAAGAACAUAUGUGUAAGUAACUGUGCACAUCUUGACGGUACCUAAUCAGAAAGCCACGGCUAACUACGUG
rnacentral:rRNA from 1 species